UACGAAGGGUGCAAGCGUUACUCGGAAUUACUGGGCGUAAAGCGUGCGUAGGUGGUUUGUUAAGUCUGUUGUGAAAGCCCCGGGCUCAACCUGGGAAUGGCAAUGGAUACUGGCAAGCUAGAGUGCGGUAGAGGGUAGUGGAAUUCCCGGUGUAGCGGUGAAAUGCGUAGAGAUCGGGAGGAACACCAGUGGCGAAGGCGGCUUCCUGGACCAGCACUGACACUGAGGCACGAAAGCGUGGGGAGCAAACAGG
rnacentral:rRNA from 1 species